ACUGUCGCGAAGCUCCCGCCCAAGCCGACCACGUGCCGCGAGCCCGGCGGGGAGAGCCCACUCCCGCGCCCCUUCCGGGCCCACUACCCCGCCAGGCUGUGGCCCAUCGCCCCAGUGCCUGGUAGCCUAGUUUUCUCGUUUGUCGUUUGUUCACUUAUUUUUUAUUAUUAUUAUUUUGAUUCGUAAUGGGUAUGAGGUGUAAGGGGGCCUAUUACGGAUGUUAAGGGGAGAGGGCACCGCUCGGGUUUUAAUAAGCAUCUGUGGAGCUCAUUUAUAAGAUUGGCAUCCUCUGCUUCUGCAGAAAACAUGGCUACCAACAGCUUCUGAAUCCACCUGCAGAGGAGACUGACUGCUCUGUUAUUCCCCCAGCAUCUGUGAAGAGGCUCUGACUGGCUAAAAUGAAGGAGUCUGUAGCUUUAGGGGAAGACAGAGCCACAAGAUGGAAGGAGCUUGGAUGUCUGAACUAUUCCAUGGAGAAAAGCUGCAGCCAACGAAGAACACCUGCAAUGGACUCUUAACCUGGGGGUGACGACAACCACUGAAAUAUGCUGCAUCUUAGUCCAGGGAUUUUUAAAGUGUGGUUCCUGGAAGAGCUGGAUCAGAGUCAUCUGUGUUGAUGGUUUAACAUAAAGAUUUUCGGGCCCCAAGACUCAAGUAGGACAAGGAAUUUGAAUUUUUAAGCAGCUCACCUGACUUGUCUGUCCUCUAAUGUCUGAAGACAUCUGACCUCUGCUCUUUCAGUAAAAGCAACAAUGGUUUUAUGAGCAUUAUCAUCCCAUCUCUCCACUCAAGGGAUCCUUCUCAUUUCUCCCAGCUGAGGUCACCCACAGCUGCUGCUUCUAACUGCUGGCUUCCAGCCUGCUGUCUGCCAGCUGGCUCUACCCUCUCCUAUAACACAGCAGAGAGUAGCUGUGGUCUCCUGCGUGCUCACCCUCUGCUCCCUUGGUCCUGCUCCAUGCUUUGGUCCUGCACUUAAAUUUUACAAGCAUACUCUCUUUCUCUUAAGAAUGAUUUUCAUUGCCAUUUAGAGGAAAUCUUGGGAUCAACUUGCGAAAAGACGGAGGCUCCUGGCUCUGAUCUUUGGGGACUUCAGAUUUUCUGGAUCGAGCCAACAGCUAACACUGGGAGGUAGCACCAAUCACUAAGAAGCACAAGCCACCAGACAUUUAGAUGAGGCCACCUGAGAUCAUCCAGGCAGCAGCUGACCCGGCAGAAACCACAGGUACGUGAAAGAGGCCAGCAGAGGGAAGACAAGCUGGGCCAGAACAGAAGAAUUGUCCAGCUGAACAACAGAAUUGUGAACUAAAUUAAAUUUUGGGGGGAUGGUUGGCUGUGUGGCAAAGGUUAAUUAAUGUGGGAAGGGAUAGGUAAACUAGAAACCAAAGUUGAGAAUAAGGUUGAAUAAACGAAAGUUUAGUUGCAAGGGAGUGGUGACAAAGAAGAGCCCUUAAAGGCAAAAUCAUAGACAACGUUUUUUGGAGAGAUCAUUUGCACAAGUACAGUAGAGGCCCCUCCUUCCUCCUCCAUCUUCAUGCCCUGACUCUGUGGACGUUCAGUGUCACAAGAAAUGCUCCAAUAAUCCAUUUCAUGGAAUGAUAUAAUGUCAUAAGAAGGAGCGUAAAAAUUCCCUGUUCUGAUUUUCCUAUUUAAUGGGAAGCUCAAAAAGACAAAAUGGCUUGCCCAUUUCAUCCUGAAAGUUUAGCUUAUACAGUGAUAUGCCACAUAAUGAUAUUUUUGGGUCUACAGUGGACCUCAUAUAUGACAGGUGGUCCCAUAAGAUUGUAAUGGAGCUGAAAAAUUCCUAUUGCCUUUUGACCUCAUAGCCAUCAUAAUGUUGUAGCACAAUGCAUUACAUUUGUGGUGAUGCUGAUAGAAACAAACCAACUGUGCUGCCAGGUAUAUCAAAGUAUAGAACAUGCAAUUAUGUACAGUAUAUAAUACUUGACAAUGAUAAUAAAUGACUAUGUUGCUGGUUUGUGUAUUUACUUUUUAUCAUUAUUUUAGAGUGUUCUCCUUCUACUUAUUAAAAAAAAAUAACUGGAAAACAGCCUUAGGCAGGUCCUUCAGGAGUAUUCCAGAAGAAAGCAUUGUUAUCAUAAGAGAUGACAGCUCCAUGCCUGUUAUUGCCCCUGAAGACCUUCCCGUGGAACAAGAUCUGGAGGUGGAAGACAGUGAUAUUGAUGAUCCUUAUUCUGUGUAGGCCUAGGCUAAUGUAUAUAUUUAUGUCUUAGUUUUUAACAAAAGAAGCUUAAAAAGUGAAAGAAUGAGAAAAUUUAGAAGUAGAAAAAAGCUUAUAGAAUAAGGAUAUAAAGAAAGAAAAUAUUUUUGUACAGCUGUACAAUGUGUUGUUUGUGUUUUAAGGUGGGUGUUAUUACAAAAGAGUCAAAAAGAAAAAAUUAAAAAUUUUAUAAAAAAUUACACUAAGCUAAUGUUACUUUAUUAUUGAAGAAAGAAAAAUAUUCUUUUAUAAGUUUAGUGUAGCCUAAGUGUACAGUGUUUAUAUAUAAAAUCUACAGUAGUGUAGAGCAAUGUCCUAGGCCUUCACAUUUACUCGCCACUUACUCACGGACGCCUACAGCAAUUUCCAGUUCCGCAAGUUCUAUUCAUGAUAAGUGCCCUAACUAUACAGGUGUAGCAUUUAACAAUUUUUUAUACCAUAUUUGCACUGCUCCUUUUCUAUGUUUAGAUGUGUUUAGAUAGACAGAUCUUUAUCAUUGUGUUACAAUUGCCUGCAGAAUUCAAUAUAGUAACAUGCUGUACAGGCUUGUAACCUAGGAGUGAUAGGCUAUACCAUAUAGCCUAGGUAUCUAGCAGGCUAUACCAUCCAGGUUUGUGUAAGUACACUCUUAUAUUGUUCACACAAUUACAAAAUUACCUAAUGAUGCAUUUCUUAGAACGUAUCCCUGUCAUUAAGUGAUGCAUGACUUUAUUUGCUUUAUUUGUAAUGAAAUGAAUAUGUUUCCUGGCUUUUUUUUUUUUUUUGAGAACACUCUUAACACCUAUCUUGCAGGAGAAUAUUGUGUUUGUUUUUCUUUUCAUUCCUAUGUCUCCUGUUAUAGUCUCAGGAUGGGUGAAGUUUUAGUGAGAAGCUCAGUGGCAAGUAGACAAUAUGACUCUUCCAUGGUCAGUAUACCCACAGAAACACUUUUUCCUCAAUCUCAGGAGAAAAAUGAGCCAAAUAUGGAGGAUCCCAUCAGCUGCAGCAAAGCUACUGGCCAUGAAGGGAAGUGAGAGAAGCAAAGAGAAGAGUGAAGCAGAAUGGGAAGGAAAAUGAUGAUUCUAUGGGCACCAAUCAUGUGAGUCUUCUUGAGGCUUUACCAAGGAAACAGGCAGUUUUAGAGUUGGCCUUAAGGAUGUUCUCUGGUGUCAUCAAAGAAAUGGAAAUGCAAAGCAGAGACAUGUGCAUUUAGAUAUGUGUAAGACUGUACACUAUUUUUAGUGGAAAAUGGCUGCUGAGUGUGUGGAAAGAGUAUAAAAGAUUUCAGUGGGAAGAUUCUACAAUCAUUUGAGAUUCUCCAUUGCUGGAAAAUUCUCAAAUUAGGCUUAUGAAGGCAAUUUGAUUUAGCAAACAGCUCUCUGGACCAAGCAAAUCUUCUCAGCAGGGAUGGAAUUUGAACUGCACUUGUCCCUGGUUCUCACCUUCCCUGAGAAGCAGCGCAUCUGCAGUGUCCCAGGUGAUGCCCCCCACAGGCCUUGAAGCUUGUCUUCCAGAAGAGCCUUCGUUUCAGGGGCAGCAUUCCAGGAAGCACGCCCAUGAAACACUCAUGAGGAGGAACUGGGCUGCCAAUUAUGACUUGUCACUGCUCCAUCAACAUAAAAGCUCGGCAGCACUCAGAUGGCUCUUGAAACUCUUUGAGAUAUAAUCUGAAAGGAGGUCCCAGUUUCUGCCCCGGGCUGUUUGCAUCAUCAACCUGCAAAAUUCCAAUCUUGGAACUUGCUGAGAUUUUCAUUCUGAGACUCUCUGCCCUUGGCCUUGAGGAUAGCCAGAAGAAUACUAUAUUUCUUCUGCCUCUCUUUCUCUUUCUAUCUAAAGAGGUCAGGAUUAUAUUUCCACUUUGCUGAAUAUAGAAUCAAACCCAAUUGCCAUCAGCAAGUGCUGUAUAUCACCUACCACACCUGGGACCAGGCAUCAACAAGACCUUGACAGGGCCAGAAACCUCAAGCCCUCAUUGCCAAGCCCAUUAAAAUCAGGAACUCAAGCUCAUUAAGGAAGGAGUGCAAUGGAUAUAGCCAGACAGGAGGAUUUCCACUUCAGUAUUAUCCUGAAUAGUGAACAACCAUCUCUGCUUUUCUCAGGGAGAAAGAUGUGGUAACAGUCACAAUGAUAGUAGACGAUGGUGACUGUUUAAUUUGUCAUGGCUAACAUAUAUGGUUAGCAAAUUGAGUUUCCUUUUAGGUAUAGUCUGAAUUGAACUGAAGUUCAUUAUAAUUUCCCUAAGUUGAUCUGUGAGGGCAUUUUAGCCUUCUUGGUAAAAUUAAAUAAUAUCAGUCAAAAAGGCUGUUAAACCAAUUCUUACACUUGAAAGCUUCCAGUUAUUCUAAUAAUUUGGAAUCUGUGUCUCCCCCUCUGUGGCAAUGAGGCUGUUGCUUGCUUUUCCCAAGAGACUGUAUUGCAUCUUUCUUGUUUUCUGAGAUGAGAAACAACCUCAAGGUCAUGCCCAGUGAUAUGGUUUGGCUCUGUGCCCCCACCCAAAUCUCAUCCCGAAUUGUAAUCCCCACAUGUCGGAGGAGGGGCUUGGUGGGAGGUGACUGGAUUAUGGGGGUGUAUUUCCCCCUUGUUUUCAUGACAGUGAGUUCUCAUGAGAUUUGAUGGUUUAAAACUGUGUGGCACCACCCCCUGCAAGCUCCCUCUCUCUCCUGCCACCACGUAAGACGUGCCUUGCUUCUUCUUUGCCUUCUGCCAUGAUUGUAAGUUUUCUGAGGCUUCCCCAGCCAUGCAGAACUGUGUGUCAAUUAAACCUUUUUUCUUUAUAAAUUACUCAGUCUCAGGUAUGUCUUUAUAGCACUGUGAAAACGGA